rnacentral:rRNA from 1 species
CCUACGGGGGACAGCAGUAGGGAAUCUUCCACAAUGGGCGAAAGCCUGAUGGAGCAACGCCGCGUGGGUGAAGAAGGUCUUCGGAUCGUAAAACCCUGUUGUUAGAGAAGAAAGUGCGUGCGAGUAACUGUUCACGUUUCGACGGUAUCUAACCAGAAAGCCACGGCUAACUACGUGCCAGCAGCCGCGGUAAUCCGUAGGUGGCAAGCGUUAUCCGGAUUUAUUGGGCGUAAAGGGAACGCAGGCGGUCUUUUAAGUCUGAUGUGAAAGCCUUCGGCUUAACCGGAGUAGUGCAUUGGAAACUGGGAGACGUGAGUGCAGAAGAGGAGAGUGGAACUCCAUGUGUAGCGGUGAAAUGCGUAGAUAUAUGGAAGAACACCAGUGGCGAAAGCGGCUCUCUGGUCUGUAACUGACGCUGAGGUUCGAAAGCGUGGGUAGCAAACAGGAUUAGAUACCCCUGUAGUC